UGGGGAAUAUUGGACAAUGGGCGAAAGCCUGAUCCAGCCAUGCCGCGUGUGUGAAGAAGGUCUUCGGAUUGUAAAGCACUUUAAGUUGGGAGGAAGGGCAGUAAAUUAAUACUUUGCUGUUUUGACGUUACCGACAGAAUAAGCACCGGCUAACUCUGUGCCAGCAGCCGCGGUAAUACAGAGGGUGCAAGCGUUAAUCGGAAUUACUGGGCGUAAAGCGCGCGUAGGUGGUUCGUUAAGUUGGAUGUGAAAUCCCCGGGCUCAACCUGGGAACUGCAUUCAAAACUGACGAGCUAGAGUAUGGUAGAGGGUGGUGGAAUUUCCUGUGUAGCGGUGAAAUGCGUAGAUAUAGGAAGGAACACCAGUGGCGAAGGCGACCACCUGGACUGAUACUGACACUGAGGUGCGAAAGCGUGGGGAG
rnacentral:rRNA from 1 species